AUGGCGCCGCCCGGGUCGCGACGGUGGGCGUACGUGCGGAUCAUGGCCGGCACCAUCGUCGGCGGCUGCCUCGGCUUCUACGUCAUGCUCCGCAUCGAGACCUCCUACAAGGUACGACAACUCCCAUCGCACCAACCUGUCAUGAUCUAUGGACCAUUUGGUCGAAGCCGCGGUGCUUACUCCCGCUUUUCUUUGUCGUGUGCAGGUGAGGAUGGAGGAGAGGCUGCAUUGAUGGCAAGCUGGAGUGCCUCUACCAUGGCUGGCAGUUGGACGACCAGGGCAAGUGCGUCAAGAUCCCACAGGUCCCACCAUUCCACACUUCUUUCUAAUCAAGUUCAGUCAUGGAUCUGUACAAACGCAUGA
rnacentral:rRNA from 1 species